rnacentral:lncRNA from 1 species
GGGUUUUCUAGGAAUGACUUGCUUUCUUGAAUUACUCUUUGGGCAAUAACUGGCUGAGAAGGACCAAAGAAUGAUCCAUAACUGCAGAAAGGCAUGAAAAUGAAAUAUGAAACAAACCAUUAAUCAUUCAUAUACGAGGACUACAUUAAAGAUAAUUGCAACUAUUUAAAAAUCAGAAUAUAAAACAGAAUUUCAAUGGAAUUUAUGUCAUUAAUCUAUAAAGAAAUAUGAAACCUCUAACCAGAGGCAUUAGGAGUGACCAAGUUACCUGUUCAUGCUCACAUCAAAUAAUGCGUAAACAGUGCAUUCACUGACUUGACAAAUCUAGCAAUAUUCAUAAAUGGUUUUCUAGCCCAAUUUCAAAUCAUGCAGUUUAAAUAGGAAUUGAUGGAUUGAAUAGUGUAAAGAGUUUUCCCCCAAUUAGCAUAGCUACAAGCUACAAUAAAAUUGAAACCAAGUCAUUGCACUCAACUGCAAAUUCAAUUUACAUCUAUUACUUAAGCAAUAAAUUUAUGCAUGGACAUCUAUCAAGUAUACAUUCUAAGCUGCAUUUUACUAAGGAAUUAUCUGCGGCGCAGCUAAUUCGUGCAUCUAAUUCCUGCAUGUAAUACUGGUUUAAGAAAAAAGAAAGUCAUUAAUUAUCUUCAAAUUUUUUGUUGCUAGGGUGUAGCUGCGGUUCUAUGUUUACUGUAGAUCAUAACUCAUGAUAUCAUCAAUUGUCUCCUUGUGCAGAAAGGAACAUGUUCCAUCAAAAUAAGUGAGAAUAGCAAGCUGGUUGUCAUUAAGAAAACAGUACAUCACUCACUUAUCAGAAGGAACUUUUUUCUUUAUAUCAUGGGACUUAGAAACAGCAGUAGAACCAUUUUCCCUUUGCAUUUUCUUCCUUAUUCUCUCUUUAAUUCGUGCCCUUAAUUCAAGAUACUCAAGUUCCUCUGCAGUUGGCUUUCUCUCUUC